CAGUUGGAAACGACUGCUAAUACCGCAUAAGCGCACAGCUUCGCAUGAAGCAGUGUGAAAAACUCCGGUGGUACAAGAUGGACCCGCGUCUGAUUAGCUGGUUGGUGAGGUAACGGCCCACCAAGGCGACGAUCAGUAGCCGGCCUGAGAGGGUGAACGGCCACAUUGGGACUGAGACACGGCCCAAACUCCUACGGGAGGCAGCAGUGGGGAAUAUUGCACAAUGGGGGAAACCCUGAUGCAGCAACGCCGCGUGAGUGAAGAAGUAUUUCGGUAUGUAAAGCUCUAUCAGCAGGAAAGAAAAUGACGGUACCUGACUAAGAAGCCCCGGCUAACUACGUGCCAGCAGCCGCGGUAAUACGUAGGGGGCAAGCGUUAUCCGGAUUUACUGGGUGUAAAGGGAGCGUAGACGGUUUU
rnacentral:rRNA from 1 species